rnacentral:rRNA from 1 species
AUGCAGUUCAGGAGGGUGCGCUGCAACUUCCCGGGCAUGAAGGUCACCUUCCACGUCCAGCGCGGCUCCAACCCUAACUACCUCGCGGUGCUCGUGGAGUACGCCAACGUGGACGGGACCGUGGUGCGGAUGGAGCUCAUGCAGACCAGGAACGGCCGCCCCACGGGGUCCUGGGAGCCGAUGCGCCGCUCCUGGGGAUCCAUCUGGCGGAUGGACACCAGCCGCCCGCUGCAGGGGCCCUUCUCCAUGCGCAUCACCAGCGACUCCGGGAAGACGCUGGUGGCCAACAAUGUCAUCCCGGCCUAUUGGCGGCCGGACAAAGCCUACUGGUCCAACGUCCAAUUCUAUUGA